rnacentral:rRNA from 1 species
UACGGAGGGGGCUAGCGUUUUUCGGAAUUACUGGGCGUAAAGCGCACGUAGGCGGACUGUUUAGUCAGGGGUGAAAUCCCGAGGCUCAACCUCGGAAUUGCCUCUGAUACUGGCAGUCUCGAGUCCGGAAGAGGUGAGUGGAAUUCCGAGUGUAGAGGUGAAAUUCGUAGAUAUUCGGAGGAACACCAGUGGCGAAGGCGGCUCACUGGUCCGGUACUGACGCUGAGGUGCGAAAGCGUGGGGAGCAAACAGG